rnacentral:rRNA from 1 species
AGUGAACGCUGGCGGUAGGCCUAACACAUGCAAGUCGAACGGCAGCACAGUAAGAGCUUGCUCUUACGGGUGGCGAGUGGCGGACGGGUGAGGAAUACAUCGGAAUCUACUUUUUCGUGGGGGAUAACGUAGGGAAACUUACGCUAAUACCGCAUACGACCUACGGGUGAAAGCAGGGGAUCUUCGGACCUUGCGCGAUUGAAUGAGCCGAUGUCGGAUUAGCUAGUUGGCGGGGUAAAGGCCCACCAAGGCGACGAUCCGUAGCUGGUCUGAGAGGAUGAGGAGGCACACUGGGAGAAAAGAAGGGACCAGGCGACAACGGGAUGCAGCAGUGGGGAGUGGGGGAAAAGGGCCGUAAGCUUGAACCACACAUGUGGCGUGAGAGAAAAGGGCCGUCGUGUUGUAAAGCUCUUCUGUUGGGAAAGAAAAGCAACAGACUGAUAACCCGCUGUUCAGACGCUACCGAAAGAGGAAGCAACGGCUAACUUGGUG